UUUUCGCACACUACAACAAAAGAACAGAUAAACACUGUAGAAGGCACAAUUCUAUUUAAAGAUAAGAUGUUCAUUACUGGAAGAUAGUCUCGUUGACGCUGUUACCACGAUCGUAUCGCAAUACCGUGUAGAGCUGUGCACACUUAGUUAAUAUUUGAAGUGGGCUACCAGCAUGGCGUACAAUCAAGACGAGCUUGUGGCUCCGGGUUGGUUGAACGACGAGUUCUUCCGUGAUGUGAUGCGCGAAUCAAAUAACGAUCCAACGAUCGAGUUAAUAAAGUCAUGUGUUUUACGUCCGGGCACCAAUAAAGGGGAUCAUUACGCUAGUGUCAUGUUCCGCACGACCGUCACCUAUCGAUCCCAGCGUUCAAGUGAAGAGAAGUCGGUCAACAUCAUCAUGAAAACGAAGCCAGAAGCUGACGGAUUGAAGAAGGAGCUUUUGGAUGACGAUAGAUUGUUUGCGAUAGAAAUGGAAAUGUACAGCAAGGUUCUUCCGGAGAUGACAAGAAUGUUAAAAGAGAUAGGAGAAGAGUACAAAUAUCCUCGAUACAUUUACGGUGCGUUGAAGCCCCGCACGAUCCUGAUUUUGGAAGAUAUUAGUGACCAGGGAUGGGUGAUGGGCGAUUUCAUCAGCACGUUGGACGAUAUGAAGCCAAUAGUAAAGGAUAUUGCUAUGUUUCACGCUGCGUCCGUGAUGUUGGAAAGCGCUGAUUCUACAUUUGUGGCCAGGCAUAAUUACUCAAUCGCAGAGAAAUUUAUGGGCUUCAAAGGCAUGAUCACGAAGGGCUUUGGGGAUCUGAUGCACCUCACACAGACGUGUUCAGAGUUUGCACAUUUUGCAAGGCCGUUAGGUCGUUUCCAGGAAAACUUGCAUAAAUUCUUCACUUCAUUAUAUAUCCCUUCGAAAACAAUCCAAAACGUGUUGAUACAUGGAGAUUUUCAUGGUAAAAAUAUGCUCCAUCAAGUCGAUGCUGAAGGACGACACACCGAUACGAUACUGCUUGAUUAUCAGAUCUGUUGCUGGACCAGUCCGGCGGUUGAUUUGUACUAUCUACUGGAUAUGAUACCGACUCAAGAGGUGAAGGACAAACAUCGGUCUGAGUUGAUAUAUAUGUAUUAUCAAAACUACAGUGAUUUACUGAAGCGGCUAGGAUAUAUGGGUAAAAUACCGUCCUUGCUGGAUUUGCAGAUAGAGCUUCUACGAUAUGCUGGACUAGAGAUAUUCCACUACGCAAUGUUCAGUUCGUUUCGGUACAUGGAUCAAACAGCGAUCGAUAUAGAGGCAUACUUGAAGGGAGAGCUUGAAAAUCCUGCUUUCAACAAUCCAGAGUUCAAGAAGCUUAUUCAUAACGAGCUAACGCGCUUCCUACAUCAAGGAACAUUAUCGUGAAUGGAUGAUAAUCAAGGUAAACCUCUUCAGAUGCAACAAUUAGUGUUGGGUCGUGAAUAAAAAAGCUACUUCAUAUGUGAUUUGAUUUGAAGUACUAGUGUGCGAAGAGUGCUGCUAAUUACUUUCAUAAUUUACAGUAAAGACCACCAUUGUCACAAUAGGGCCGUUCAAAUGAAUCUUACCCUUUGGGCUAUAUACUUAGGGCUAUUAAUGUAUAUUCGUAAUCUUGUGUUCGUAUAUUGUGCGAUAGAAUAGAAUAUGACAAAAUAUACACUUUUAUAAUCUGAAGAUUAGUAUUGAACUCAAAAUAGAGCAGGGAAAAUUAUCUGCUGUACAAAAAAUCAAUGGUAGAAAUCAAGUCCAGAAAUCAUAAUAAAAUGUCUUAUUGCAUUAAGCUUCUGUAGGCAUGUAGGGUCUUGAGACACUUGAAGACUGUCGUUCCAUGACUCGGGCCUCCUUCAUUGCCUCACUUAUGCUGGGUAUCACUGAUGUUUCGGCUUUGCUCUCCUCUAUCCCUCUUUAUGUUCCCUCCAGCUCCUUCAUAUGCGUCGCCCUUUAAAUAUUCCUACUCAUCUUUCUGCUAUUGGUCGUAGGGACGCGCUACUACGUUCAAUGAGUGUCUUUAAUGAUUCUUCCCACCACUUCUUUCACUGUUUUGUACUUAUCCGCUCUUUAAAUUUUACAAUGUUCUAUAAGUUCUAAUGGCUCAUUACUUUUGUUAAGAUAAUAAAAUUAGAUCUAGGUUCGUAGACUAGUACAUAAGAAUAUGUUAUACAAAGCCAUACUGGCAAACAUUGAAAUACAACGAAAUAUGACACAUGAAACAUGGUACUAUUGUUAAACAACACGUUGAAUUUUUUUGGAUAAAAGCUUUUUAUGAGGGAAAAGAUUUAUACAACAAAUUAGUUAAUUAGUGGUAGCGAUUGAAACUAACGUUUUUCGACUAAACGGCCAACGCAGGCGCAUCCUGCCCUUUUAUUUCCUAGCUUAUCGUUUCUCUGAUUCUUCCCUCUCGCUCUUGUACCUCGUGCACCAGAUAGGUUGUUGGGCACUCACAAAUUUUCAACAAUUAUAUUUCUACAGCACUCAACCGUGAAGAUAAUUGAUUCAACACGACUUGAAACAAUGGUGAAUGGUAUUUUGAAAAUUGUUUAUGCUUUACGCUGACUCACGAACGAUGUAUAGCAGUAGAGUAAGGUUCGAGUGAUUUGUUGCAUUCACUCACCAACACGAGCGCAGCAGUGUAGAUAAAAUCGUGUGAUGGUUGCUUUUCUAUUUAAAGAUGUGAAGUUUGUUACAGCAAGACAGUUUGGUUGACGCUGUUAAAGUAAACAUAUAUCAACAUCACGUUAACUUUUGUAAACUUGCGAAUAUUUAAAGUGUGUUACCAGUAUGAUGUACAAUCAAGAUGAGCUUGAGGCUCCGGAUACAUCUACGGUGCUUUGAAGCCCCACACCAUCCUGAUUUUGGAAGAUAUUAGUGACCAGGGAUGGGUGAUGGGUG